AUACGGGGGGAGCGAGCGUUGUCCGGAAUCACUGGGCGUAAAGAGCGUGUAGGCGGGAUUGUAAGUCAGAGGUGAAAUGUCGGGGCUCAACCCCGAACCUGCCUUUGAUACUGCAGUUCUUGAGUACGGUAGAGGGAAGCGGAACUCCAGGUGUAGCGGUGGAAUGCGUAGAUAUCUGGAAGAACACCGGUGGCGAAGGCGGCUUCCUGGCCCGGUACUGACGCUGAGACGCGAAAGCGUGGGGAGCAAACAGGAGUAGAAACCCUAGUAGUCC
rnacentral:rRNA from 1 species